rnacentral:rRNA from 1 species
CCUACGGGAGGCAGCAGUGGGGAAUAUUGCACAAUGGGCGCAAGCCUGAUGCAGCCAUGCCGCGUGUAUGAAGAAGGCCUUCGGGUUGUAAAGUACUUUCAGCGAGGAGGAAGGCGUUAAGGUUAAUAACCUUAGUGAUUGACGUUACUCGCACAACAAGCACCGGCUAACUCCGUGCCAGCAGCCGCGGUAAU